UCCAGACUCCUACGGGAGGCAGCAGUGGGGAAUAUUGCACAAUGGGGGAAACCCUGAUGCAGCGACGCCGCGUGGGUGAAGGAGUAUUUCGGUAUGUAAAGCCCUAUCGGCAGGGAAGAAGCAAGACGGUACCUGACCAAGAAGCCCCGGCUAACUACGUGCCAGCAGCCGCGGUAAUACGUAGGGGGCGAGCGUUAUCCGGAUUCACUGGGUGUAAAGGGAGCGUAGACGGCCAAGCAAGCCAGGGGUGAAAGCCCGGGGCCCAACCCCGGGACUGCCCUUGGAACUGCUUGGCUGGAGUGCGGGAGGGGCAGGCGGAAUUCCUGGUGUAGCGGUGAAAUGCGUAGAUAUCAGGAGGAACACCGGCGGCGAAGGCGGCCUGCUGGACCGCGACUGACGUUGAGGCUCGAAAGCGUGGGGAGCGAACAGGAUUAGAUACCCCAGUAU
rnacentral:rRNA from 1 species